ACUUUCUCCCUAUACAGGCAGGUGCUGUGGAGGCUGCUGGGGAGAGAAGUCGCCAACAGUCUUAGCUAUCUGUGUACCCUGUGGGUCGCAGUAAGGACCAGUGUGGCAAAACAGCCCCCUGGGAGCAACAGAGGUACUAGUGUCGAUCUGUUUACAUUUCCGUAAAGUUCAACUUCCUGUUAUUUCCACAGGCAGCAGGACACACAACACAUCACGAUGGAGGAGGGGCUGAUGGACACAGAGCCUACCACCAGGGAACUGGAGAGAAGUGGUAAUGAACAGCUGAGGGGAAACUUCUUCU